GGUGGUUACCAUACCACCCUGAACAUGCCUGAUCUCAUCUGAUUUUGGAAGCUAAGCAGGGUUGGGCCUGGUUAGUACUUGAAUGGGAGAUCACAGAUAUUUUGACAUUGGUAUUAUCACAU
ensembl:rRNA 5S_rRNA 5S ribosomal RNA